rnacentral:rRNA from 1 species
CAAGCAAAAUGAAUUUUAGUUUGAACCCCCGAAACUAAGUGAGCUACUUCGAAACAGUCAAGAACUAACCCGUCUCUGUAGCAAUAGAGUGGGAUGAUUUCCAAAUAGAGGUGACAAACCUACCGCACUUAGAGAUAGCUGGUUACUCAAGAAAAGAAUUUAAGUUCAACCUUAAGUUUAUUAAUUACAAAAAAAAUAACUAAAACUUAAGAGCUAUUCAAAUAAGGCACAGCUUAUUUGAAACAGGACACAACCUCUGACAUAGGGUAAUAAUUGAAAACUGGUACCAAGUAGGCCUAAAAGCAGCCAUCUUACAAAAGCGUCAAAGCUUAGUAUCCAUUCUAUUCUGAUACCUCAACAUAUUUUCAACCCAUCACCAGUAUUGAGUAAUUCCAUAAACCUAUGGAAGAUAUAAUGCUAGAACUAGUAACAAGAAUAAACCUUCUCCAAAAUGUAAGCCUAAGCCACUAUAGAUAUACUACUGGCAAUUAACGCAAAUGAGUACACCAUAGCAACUCCAACAAGAAAAUCCUAUGAAUUCUAGCGUCAACCUUACACUAGAACACUUAUGGAAAGAUUAAAAGAAAAAGAAGGAACUCGGCAAAACCCAGCCC